GGCUCAGGAUGAACGCUAGCUACAGGCUUAACACAUGCAAGUCGAGGGGUAACAUGAUUGGAGCUUGCUCCGAUUGAUGACGACCGGCGCACGGGUGAGUAACGCGUAUCCAACCUGCCCCCAUGCUCAGGGAUAACCUUCCGAAAGGGAGCCUAAUACCUGAUGUUGUGCGACGAUGGCAUCAGAAUUGCACGAAAGAUUUCAUCGGCAUGGGAUGGGGAUGCGUCUGAUUAGCUUGUUGGCGGGGUAACGGCCCACCAAGGCGACGAUCAGUAGGGGUUCUGAGAGGAAGGUCCCCCACACUGGUACUGAGACACGGACCAGACUCCUACGGGAGGCAGCAGUGAGGAAUAUUGGUCAAUGGGCGGGAGCCUGAACCAGCCAAGUAGCGUGCAGGAAGACGGCCCUACGGGUUGUAAACUGCUUUUAUGAGGGGAUAAAGUGGGCUACGUGUAGCUUAUUGCAGGUACCUCAUGAAUAAGGACCGGCUAAUUCCGUGCCAGCAGCCGC
rnacentral:rRNA from 1 species